rnacentral:tRNA from 1 species
GGACAAGUAGCUCUGUACGGUGUGACUGGCUCCCAUUUGCAAGCAGGAAGUCAGGGGUUCGACUCCCCUAGGCUCCACCA